rnacentral:rRNA from 1 species
AGGCAAUGGUGGGAUACUACCCUGGCUGUAUGACCAUUCUAACCCGCCACGCUUAGCGCGUGGGGAGACAGUGUCAGGUGGGCAGUUUGACUGGGGCGGUCGCCUCCUAAAGAGGAACGGAGGCGCCCAAAGGUUCCCUCAGAAUGGAUGGAAAUCAUUCGCAGAGUGUAAAGGCACAAGGGAGCUUGACUGCGAGACUGACAAGUCGAGCAGGGACGAAAGUCGGGCU